rnacentral:rRNA from 1 species
UGGGGAAUAUUGCACAAUGGGCGCAAGCCUGAUGCAGCCAUGCCGCGUGUAUGAAGAAGGCCUUCGGGUUGUAAAGUACUUUCAGUCGGGAGGAAGGUGGUAAGGUUAAUAACCUUAUCAAUUGACGUUACCGACAGAAGAAGCACCGGCUAACUCCGUGCCAGCAGCCGCGGUAAUACGGAGGGUGCAAGCGUUAAUCGGAAUUACUGGGCGUAAAGCGCACGCAGGCGGUUGAUUGAGUCAGAUGUGAAAUCCCCGGGCUUAACCCGGGAAUUGCAUCUGAUAAUGGUCAGCUAGAGUCUUGUAGAGGGGGGUAGAAUUCCAUGUGUAGCGGUGAAAUGCGUAGAGAUGUGGAGGAAUACCGGUGGCGAAGGCGGCCCCCUGGACAAAGACUGACGCUCAGGUGCGAAAGCGUGGGGAGCAAACAGG